CAGUAGCCGCGGGAAAACGAAGGGGGCUAGCGUUGCUCGGAAUGACUGGGCGUAAAGGGCGCGUAGGCGGCGAUCAAAGUCAGGCGUGAAAUUCCUGGGCUCAACCUGGGGGCUGCGUUUGAUACUUGAUUGCUAGAGUGGGGAAGAGGGUCGUGGAAUUCCCAGUGUAGAGGUGAAAUUCGUAGAUAUUGGGAAGAACACCGGUGGCGAAGGCGGCGACCUGGUCCUUGACUGACGCUGAGGCGCGAAAGCGUGGGGAGCAAACAGGAUUAGAUACCCCCGUAGUCCCUGUCUCUUAUAC
rnacentral:rRNA from 1 species